CAGGACGGCCGGGGGGCCGCUCCCUGUCGUGUACGGCAAGGAGAGGAACUUCCGGACUCCAUAGAGCGCGACGCCCGUCGAAAGGCGGGGCCUGCCGGGCCCAAGCCCGUCAGGACGGAAAGUGCCACAGAGACAUACCGCCUACCGGCGCGAGCCGGGGGGCAAGGGUGAAAAGGCGAGGUAAGAGCUCACCGCCCGGGCCGCGAGGCUCGAGGUCCAGGCAAACCCCGUCGGGAGCAAGGCAGAUGGGCGGCCAGCGCGGCUCGCGCGUCCUCCGAGUGAGGGGCGGCCCGGUAGCCGCAUAGAGAAAUGGCCCUCCAGCCCCCGUGAGGGGGUGGACAGAAUCCGGGGUACAGGCCGUCCUGAACC
rnacentral:RNase_P_RNA from 1 species